AUGCAAAUGUGUUGAAGAAAGCUUCAAGUUUCCUUCUCUUUCAGUAUUAUCGGAACAAAAUUAAGCGAGUGCACGCAAGAGAGAUUCACACAAAACUGCUUUAUUGCCCAACAUCAGCUUACUUUCCUAUCCUUCAGAGACAGACUCGCGAUUAAAUGAAUAUAUAUUCCAUAUACGACCAUCUGAAAAGUUUAAAAAAACAAGCUGCGAUUAAAAUCGUCGUUGUCGUCGUAUCGUCGUCCUAUUCAGAGUUGCCAAUGUUCCAGUUUAAACUGGAUUCUUCCAGUUUAUUUUGAGUGAUCCAGUCAAACAGUUUAAUCCCAGAAUUUUCCAGUUUUUCUGUUUAUUUUCCAGUUCUACCCAGAUUUUUCAUGUACUCAAGCUCCGACUGGUUUUCGGAAAUCUUUUUAGAACGUAAAUCCUAUUCUAUUUUCUCGCACGAAACAAGGCCAAAAUAUAAACUACAUAGCAUUGAUGAGAUGAAAAAGGAAAGUAAGAUAAGCUUUAUUCAGAAACUGACGGAUAGAUUUUACCAGAUCGUGGAAAAAAUCAAUUCCAAUGGUAGCUUAAUAUGUUAUUUAAAAAUAAAAACAAUCGAUCUCAAAAAUGUCAUAUACAGGCGGCAUUCUUCAAAUUAAUUUCUGUAGCGUAGCAGUUUAAAAUAUGUUCGUAUAAUUAGAUACCAAAAGAUAGCGAACUCAAAGAUAGUUGGAACUUAAACUUCACAGAUGUAACGUGAAAAAUGUUGCAUCAGUACGCUACUUGAAAGUUGAAGUGAAGUUCAUUUUCAUGAUUUUGAGAUAAAUUGAUUAGGAAGUUUCAAAUUUAUAGGAGAUAACAAUAAAAUUAAAAGAAAAGGAAACCCGAAACAGAACAGUUCUGAUUGAAAUGAGUGAUUUUUUGCUAUAAUUAAAACUAGCAUUGGAUUUUGUAACCAUCACAGAGAAGCUCUAUUGCAUUUUUUAUGCUAUUUAUUAAAUUUUUUUGAAAUCCAGUUUUUCCAGUUUUUUCUUUAGCAUUCUUCCAGUUUAAAUAAAACAUUUAUUGGCAACUCUGGUCCUAUUAGUCAUCAUCGUCGUCGUGUCGUGUCGUGAUAACCGAAGGUAAACCGAACUUGCUUCAUAAGACCAGACCAACAUUUUACUUUGAUGAUGUUGAGCACAGUGAGUGACAUACGUAUCUAAAGGAAAAUCAUAAAUUGUGUAUACCGUCUUAUAUCGCAUGCCAUACAAUUAAAUUAACAAAUAAUUUCUCUCCUUAGUCGUUCACUGUUUGGUAGUGGAAGAUUGAAUGAGUUCAAAUGAGAAAUUUUUUCGAGCACGAGAUGACAUCAUGAGAUGACAACAUUGUAGCAAACGAAAUCACAAAUUAUGUCCAUAUGUAUUUUAGUUUUGCUUAUUGUUACAAUUCAAUGCUUCAGCGAAGAUUGCCAGAUAGAUCAAGAUUUUACCAAAUUUCUAACGAAUAUUCAGACAAAUUUUAUAUCCUACAGAUAAUUUAAAAUUAGCCAUAUUUUCUUUUUCUUUGUCUCACAGAAAUAAAA